rnacentral:lncRNA from 1 species
UCACUACCGCCUGGCAGGGUUUGAGUUCUGCUUUGUUCACCUUCCAUGUGACCGUGAAUACUUAAAUGAAUGAUCCUGUAGCUAUUGCAAAAUCUUGCAAUUUAGUGGGUGUGGCAACAGCAUAAGGAUAUUCUAGAUAUAGGCUAAGUGCAAUUAAUCUACCUUACGUGUCAUUAUUAAAUAUUUCAA